CUUGUCCUUUCUUUUUUGCACUCUUCUUUCUCCUUUUUCUUCCCCAUCACCCUUUUUUGCUCAACUUGGUUCAAACGCACACAAACGGCUACAUCUACUAUCUUUGAUAAAGCUAAGUGUGGGUCUCUUUUUUUUUUUUUUCUUUUUGUGUGUGCUUUCAAACUCAAAGCUGGACCACUUUGAUGAAACAUGAUUCAUCGGUGGGGAAACACUUUUUUUUAGAAUAGGUUCACAAAGUCAGCCAGUCCAUGUGGUUGGAACACUAGUUUAUGUCCACAACUGGAUAAGAUCCUUUUAUUCCUUCAUUCAAAACUACAUGGUAAUGUGUUAUAAAGGAAUUGCC
rnacentral:lncRNA from 1 species